CCUACGGGGGGCUGCAGUGGGGAAUAUUGGACAAUGGGCGAAAGCCUGAUCCAGCCAUGCCGCGUGUGUGAAGAAGGCCUUCGGGUUGUAAAGCACUUUCAGUGGGGAAGUAAGCCUUGGGGCUAAUACCCUCGAGGAAGGACAUCACCCACAGAAGAAGCACCGGCUAACUCCGUGCCAGCAGCCGCGGUAAUACGGAGGGUGCGAGCGUUAAUCGGAAUUACUGGGCGUAAAGCGCGCGUAGGCGGUCUGAUAAGCCGGUUGUGAAAGCCCCGGGCUCAACCUGGGAACGGCAUCCGGAACUGUCAGGCUAGAGUGCAGGAGAGGAAGGUAGAAUUCCCGGUGUAGCGGUGAAAUGCGUAGAGAUCGGGAGGAAUACCAGUGGCGAAGGCGGCCUUCUGGACUGACACUGACGCUGAGGUGCGAAAGCGUGGGUAGCAAACAGGAUUAGAUACCCCGGUAGUC
rnacentral:rRNA from 1 species